GCCCUGGUGGUGGAAUUGGUAGACACAAGGGAUUUAAAAUCCCUCGRCGUUCGCGYUGUGCCGGUUCAAGUCCGGCCCGGGGCACCA
rnacentral:tRNA from 1 species